rnacentral:rRNA from 1 species
UACGUAGGGUGCAAGCGUUGUCCGGAAUUAUUGGGCGUAAAGGGCUCGUAGGCGGUCCAUCGCGUCGGGAGUGAAAAGCUGGGGCUCAACCCCAGUCCUGCUUCCGAUACGGGUGGACUAGAGGUAGGCAGGGGAGAACGGAAUUCCCGGUGUAGUGGUGGAAUGCGUAGAUAUCAGGGAGGAACGACCGGUGGCGAAGGCGGAUCUCUGGGCCAUUACUGACGACUGAG